UACGUAGGUGUCGAGCGUUGUCCGGAUUUAUUGGGCGUAAAGAGCUCGUAGGUGGUUCGGCAAGUCAGUUGUGAAAUCUCCGCGCUCAACGCGGAGGGGUCAGCUGAAACUGCUGUGACUUGAGUCUGGUAGGGGAGUGUGGAAUUCCCGGUGUAGCGGUGAAAUGCGUAGAGAUCGGGAGGAACAUCAGUGGCGAAGGCGGCCAUCUGGGACAACACUGACGCUGAAGCACGAAAGCGUGGGGAGCAAACAGG
rnacentral:rRNA from 1 species